UACCGUAUACGCCCUUUGGRGRAAAGAUUUAUCGGAGAAGGAUCGGCCCGCGUUGGAUUAGGUAGUUGGWGGGGUAAUGGCCCACCAAGCCRACGAUCCAUAGCUGGUUUGAGAGGAUGAUCAGCCACACUGGGACUGAGACACGGCCCAGACUCCUACGGGAGGCAGCAGUGGGGAAUCUUASACAAUGGGGGCAACCCUGAUCUAGYCRUGCCGCGUGAGUGAUGAAGGCCUUAGGGUUGUAAAGCUCUUUCRGCUGGGAAGAUAAUGACGGYACCAGCARAARARGCCCMGGSUAACUCCGUGCCAGCAGCCGCGGUAAUACGGAGGGGGCUASCGUUGUUCGGAAUUACUGGGCGUAAAGCGCACGUAGGCGGACUGGAAAGUCAGAGGUGAAAUCCCAGGGCUCARCCUUGGAACUGCCUUUGAAACUAUCAGUCUGGAGUUCGAGAGAGGUGAGUGGAAUUCCGAGUGUAGAGGUGAAAUUCGUAGAUAUUCGGAGGAACACCAGUGGCGAAGGCGGCUCACUGGCUCGAUACUGACGCUGAGGUGCGAAAGCGUGGGGGAGCAAACAGGAUKANAUACCCUGGNAGUCCACGCCGUAAACGAUGANUGCCARACGUCGGCAAGCAUGCUUGUCGGUGUCACACC
rnacentral:rRNA from 1 species